GCCAGACUCCUACGGGAGGCAGCAGUGGGGGAUAUUGCACAAUGGGGGGAACCCUGAUGCAGCGACGCCGCGUGGGUGAAGAAGCGCCUCGGCGCGUAAAGCCCUGUCAGCAGGGAAGAAAAUGACGGUACCUGAAGAAGAAGCCCCGGCUAACUACGUGCCAGCAGCCGCGGUAAUACGUAGGGGGCAAGCGUUAUCCGGAUUUACUGGGUGUAAAGGGGGCGCAGACGGCGAUGCAAGCCAGGAGUGAAAGCCCGGGGCCCAACCCCGGGACUGCUCUUGGAACUGCGUGGCUGGAGUGCGGGAGGGGCAGGCGGAAUUCCUAGUGUAGCGGUGAAAUGCGUAGAUAUUAGGAGGAACGCCAGUGGCGAAGGCGGCUUACUGGGCUGUAACUGACGUUGAGGCUCGAAAGCGUGGGGAGCAAACAGGAUUAGAUACCCUCGUAAUA
rnacentral:rRNA from 1 species